GCGGGCCGCGCGAGACCCGGGAAACAUGGCUGCUUGUCCUAUUUCGGCGUCGCGGCGUGGCCACCAGCCCCCGGAUCAGAGUUGGGAGAGGCUCCGAAGAGGCUCCCGCGCCGGCGGAAUUCAAUCAAUAAACCCCGAACCCACGGCCGCGCGUUUUAGGACUUUGAAGGCUCAACCAGCUCCGCUCGGUUCUCGAGCCCCCAGCACCCGCGGCGCACACUAACCUGAUCACCGUGGAGGCGGGAUUGGCAGCCCGGAAGAGUGGCAGCAGCCUUAGCCAAUCGCCGCCGAGGGUCUCCGGGCAACAGCGAAUGGUGGCGGAGGCGGGGGGGAAGGGACCAAUGGGUGGGCUGCGCAGCCGGCCAGGGAGGCUCAGCCAUUUGGUUGUGGUGCCGGAGACGGACCCCUUUAGAUUUCGGGGCGGCUGAGGAGCGCGGCGGCAGCUCGGCGGCUGAGCAAGGGGGGUGGGCGGAAUGUAGGGGGAAGGGAAGGUGACUGUGCCUGGAGGGCCGAGCCGCCCGGCCUCGCCAGCCCGCCGCCGCCUCAGCGUUUGGCCGGGGGCGGGGCCGCAGGUGCGUUAUACGAAAGGGAGGGGCGCGGCCGGAGGGGCAGGGGGUCGGGGUCCGCGCCGGGCCAAGGGCUCUGUGGGGUUGCCCCGGGCCUGACCGCGCCGCACGACCGGGUUGUGGAAAGAGGCAGACGGCGAGAGGUCUGGGGGCCGCGGACUGCCUGGCGGGCGGGCAGAUGAAAGGCCUGGAAAGAGGGGAGGGGUCAAGGGUGUGGUGGGGGGAGGGGCUGGUCAUUUUCUGGGUCCAGCGGGCAGAGCUAGUGGAGCGUGGCUGCUGCCCCCCAUCUCCUCUGCGGGUUCCCACCCCCGGGCUGCGGCUCACAGCCCGCGCGCCCCUUCGCCUCCCGCCUCGUCGUAGUCCAGCCGUGGGCAUCGCAGCCCCUUGAAUACAUAAGUAAAUAAAAAGCAAGAUGCGUCCACUUCUGGAUGACUUGCCUUGCGGUCUCGACCCUCUCCAUGGAGAGGCAUUUCAGUUUGCAUGUCAGCUUGGAAGGAGUGAUCACCAAGAGGCACCCGGGGUUUUGUUUAAUCAAUAAAUGAGUGAAGACCAUGGACUAAGAAUUGAUGCUGAAUACUCUGAAUAUUUUAAAAAAUGGAAAGGGAAGGUGCUAGUAACUCCUGGUUUUCUGGACCGAACAUAAUUUAUGGGCUUUAUAGACCUAGUGAAAGAAAACGGCGCACAGUUUAUUUUAAUUGUCCACCUGAGUCAUUUGGUUCAAUCUGGGCUGGCAAAGAGGCUCUAUUUGGAGCACUUUCUCCAAGUUUUACGGUUUGCUUGCUUUCGGUUUUUUGAAUCACAUUAGUUGUAAGAGACCUUAAAGCCUUAAUUCCCACUUGGUUAACAACUUAUGGCCAGUUCUAGGACAGUGUUGUGUACUGCGUUGGCUGCCUAUGUCUGUUAACAAAUCACGGGGAUUGUUGUCAACAGGACAGAUACAUCUCCACACAACUGUUUUUCGAUUCUUUUAUUUCUACACGUCUACACUUUUCCUCAUGCACUCCAAGGUAGUUCUUUUACAUACAUUGUGUUUAUUUUUCAGGGACAUGGGUUCAAGGGAGAUAAACCAAUAUGUAUGUUGCAAGUUUGAAAUAUUGUUACAUAACACCAAUACAGUUUCAUUCUUGAGCAUACAAAAUUUAGGAGGAAAUAAAAAGUGACAGUGUAAAUAAAAGGCACAUAUAGAAUGCUUACACUGGGGAAGAAACUGUAGUAACUUUAAUAUUGUAACCCGAUGGAUUGCAAAUGUGAAAUCCUGCAACUAAGCAUUUUACUCAGUAAAUUCUUCUUUCAGACAAAAUAUUAAGUGGAAUUGGAAAAGUGAUCAUGUAUACUCUGAGUAGCUGUGAAAUGCAAAAUAAAAAUGGAAAGCCAUUGUUUUAUUUCA